GCACUUUGGAGAAGCCCGAUUCAAUUUGGGUGCCGAAGGGGCAACACGUAAAAGCGUAAAUCUCUCAGGCAAAAGGAC
rnacentral:ncRNA from 1 species